rnacentral:rRNA from 1 species
UACGUAGGGUGCGAGCGUUAAUCGGAAUUACUGGGCGUAAAGCGUGCGCAGGCGGUUUUGUAAGCCAGGUGUGAAAUCCCCGGGCUUAACCUGGGAAUGGCAUUUGGGACUGCAAGGCUUGAGUGCGGCAGAGGAGACUGGAAUUCCUGGUGUAGCAGUGAAAUGCGUAGAUAUCAGGAGGAACACCGAUGGCGAAGGCAGGUCUCUGGGCUGACGCUGACGCUCAUGCACGAAAGCGUGGGGAGCAAACAGG